UACGGAGGGUCCAAGCGUUAUCCGGAAUCAUUGGGUUUAAAGGGUCCGUAGGCGGUUUUGUAAGUCAGUGGUGAAAGCCCAUCGCUCAACGGUGGAACGGCCAUUGAUACUGCAAGACUUGAAUUAUUGGGAAGUAACUAGAAUAUGUAGUGUAGCGGUGAAAUGCUUAGAGAUUACAUGGAAUACCAAUUGCGAAGGCAGGUUACUACCAAUAUAUUGACGCUGAUGGACGAAAGCGUGGGGAGAGAACAGG
rnacentral:rRNA from 1 species